UUUUUAUGAGAGUUUGAUCCUGGCUCAGGACGAACGCUGGCGGCGUGCCUAAUACAUGCAAGUCGAACGCUUCUUUUUCCACCGGAGCUUGCUCCACCGGAAAAAGAGGAGUGGCGAACGGGUGAGUAACACGUGGGUAACCUGCCCAUCAGAAGGGGAUAACACUUGGAAACAGGUGCUAAUACCGUAUAACAAUCGAAACCGCAUGGUUUUGAUUUGAAAGGCGCUUUCGGGUGUCGCUGAUGGAUGGACCCGCGGUGCAUUAGCUAGUUGGUGAGGUAACGGCUCACCAAGGCGACGAUGCAUAGCCGACCUGAGAGGGUGAUCGGCCACAUUGGGACUGAGACACGGCCCAAACUCCUACGGGAGGCAGCAGUAGGGAAUCUUCGGCAAUGGACGAAAGUCUGACCGAGCAACGCCGCGUGAGUGAAGAAGGUUUUCGGAUCGUAAAACUCUGUUGUUAGAGAAGAACAAGGAUGAGAGUAACUGUUCAUCCCUUGACGGUAUCUAACCAGAAAGCCACGGCUAACUACGUGCCAGCAGCCGCGGUAAUACGUAGGUGGCAAGCGUUGUCCGGAUUUAUUGGGCGUAAAGCGAGCGCAGGCGGUUUCUUAAGUCUGAUGUGAAAGCCCCCGGCUCAACCGGGGAGGGUCAUUGGAAACUGGGAGACUUGAGUGCAGAAGAGGAGAGUGGAAUUCCAUGUGUAGCGGUGAAAUGCGUAGAUAUAUGGAGGAACACCAGUGGCGAAGGCGGCUCUCUGGUCUGUAACUGACGCUGAGGCUCGAAAGCGUGGGGAGCAAACAGGAUUAGAUACCCUGGUAGUCCACGCCGUAAACGAUGAGUGCUAAGUGUUGGAGGGUUUCCGCCCUUCAGUGCUGCAGCUAACGCAUUAAGCACUCCGCCUGGGGAGUACGACCGCAAGGUUGAAACUCAAAGGAAUUGACGGGGGCCCGCACAAGCGGUGGAGCAUGUGGUUUAAUUCGAAGCAACGCGAAGAACCUUACCAGGUCUUGACAUCCUUUGACCACUCUAGAGAUAGAGCUUCCCCUUCGGGGGCAAAGUGACAGGUGGUGCAUGGUUGUCGUCAGCUCGUGUCGUGAGAUGUUGGGUUAAGUCCCGCAACGAGCGCAACCCUUAUUGUUAGUUGCCAUCAUUUAGUUGGGCACUCUAGCAAGACUGCCGGUGACAAACCGGAGGAAGGUGGGGAUGACGUCAAAUCAUCAUGCCCCUUAUGACCUGGGCUACACACGUGCUACAAUGGGAAGUACAACGAGUCGCAAAGUCGCGAGGCUAAGCUAAUCUCUUAAAGCUUCUCUCAGUUCGGAUUGUAGGCUGCAACUCGCCUACAUGAAGCCGGAAUCGCUAGUAAUCGCGGAUCAGCACGCCGCGGUGAAUACGUUCCCGGGCCUUGUACACACCGCCCGUCACACCACGAGAGUUUGUAACACCCGAAGUCGGUGAGGUAACCUUUUGGAGCCAGCCGCCUAAGGUGGGAUAGAUGAUUGGGGUGAAGUCGUAACAAGGUAGCCGUAUCGGAAGGUGCGGCUGGAUCACCUCCUUUCUAAGGAA
rnacentral:rRNA from 2 species